rnacentral:snRNA from 1 species
UUGCUUUGGCAGCACCUACACUGGAAUUGGAAGGGUACCGAGACGAUUAACAUGCCCCUGAGCAAGAUGACAUGCAAACUCCUGAAGCAUUCCAUAUUAAA